rnacentral:rRNA from 1 species
GAUGAACGCUGGCGGCGUGCCUAAUACAUGCAAGUCGAGCGAACAGACGAGGAGCUUGCUCCUCUGACGUUAGCGGCGGACGGGUGAGUAACACGUGGAUAACCUACCUAUAAGACUGGGAUAACUUCGGGAAACCGGAGCUAAUACCGGAUAAUAUAUUGAACCGCAUGGUUCAAUAGUGAAAGACGGUUUUGCUGUCACUUAUAGAUGGAUCCGCGCCGCAUUAGCUAGUUGGUAAGGUAACGGCUUACCAAGGCAACGAUGCGUAGCCGACCUGAGAGGGUGAUCGGCCACACUGGAGCUGAGACACGGUCCAGACUCCUACGGGAGGCAGCAGUCGGGAAUCUUCCGCAAUGGGCGAAAGCUUGACGGAGCAACGCCGCGUGAGUGAUGAAGGUCUUCGGAUCGUAAAACUCUGUUAUUAGGGAAGAACAAAUGUGUAGGUAACUAUGCACGUCUUGACGGUACCUAAUCAGAAAGCCACGGCUAACUACGUG